rnacentral:misc_RNA from 1 species
GACGCCCAGCGACACCGUGAGGAUGACGUGGUCGGCGGAGAUCGCCGUCGCGCCAUCGUCGAAGUGAAGUCGCAGGGGGGUCUCGCUCCAGUCGAGGCGGCGGAGGCGGAGGCCGAGGCGAACGGUAUCCGGCGGGAGCGCCGCGACGAGGUGGUCCACGACGCGGGAGUACCCGGCAGGGAUCGUGACGUGCUCGCCGGGGAAGUCGCGGUACUCGCCCUCGGUGGCGAGGUCGAGGUCGCCGAGGUCGUCGGCGGAGGUGUCCGCCCUCUCCCGGUUGAUGUGCAUGGCGAGCAGCGCGUCCUCGACCUCCUCCAGCUCCUUGCCGCCGCCCGGUCGCGCCGCCUGGAACGCUCGGAGGCCGCGACUCAGGUACUCCUCGACGCCACCUCCGCCGCCGGCCUCGCCGGCGCGCGCGGCCUCCAUCAUGCCCCUGUACAGCUCCUCGAUCGGACUGGCCACCCGGUCGGCGUCGACCUCCUCGCCGCCCUCGGCGACCGUGAGCACGCGGCCGGGGAACCCGUCCAUGCGCUCGUACGGGGGAAGGUCCUUGCCGCAGGCGAGCGCGCCGGCGUCGCGCGCGAGCGCGUACACGGGGCUCCCAUCGACCCCCUGCACCCACGUGGCGCCCAUCUCGACGCGGUGGCCGGCGAACUCGGACGUGAGCACCCGCCCGCCCGCGCGGGCGCCGGCCUCUACGACCGUCACCUCGAACCUCUCGCCGCCUGCGGCGCAGAGCCGGUGCGCCGCUGUGAGCCCGGCCACGCCUGCGCCGACUACGGCGACCCGCGGCUUCGUGGCCACCAUUCUCGCUCGUCGUUACACAGCGGCUCGGUGCCUGCCGGGCGCGUGUCGGUGUCGCACACCCGACACAAUGCAAAGUGUCUCCCACGACUCCUGCGUUUGUUACAGAAACCGGCAGAGCUACGAG